AAUGGAGAGGUGAGGGAGUCACCAUCUGACAGCUUCUAAUUUCUGAGUAAAGAGCGAAGCGGGAUCACCUUCUAGGAGGCAGGAAGGGAACGUGGGAGGUUUCAGAAGAGAGAGAGUAUGAAAUGGUCACCUCAGAAAGGGAAGAGUGACCAGGGCGGAGUGCCCACGUGGAGAUGUGAGCUCAUGAGCUGAAAGAAACCGACACUGGUCAGCCAGCUUGAAUGGCUUUCUCGAGCAACGUUCGGCUGCUCAGGCGCAGGCAAGAGAAGACAGAUGGGCCACGCAGAAUGGGCUUUGCUGAGCUCCGUGGGCAGGAGGCCGAGAGAGACGAGAGAAUCAAGGGAACUGAUUAAAUGAUGGACCCUGAAAUCCGUCCUGGCAGUGAGGAUCUAAAAGCAAGGGGAGGACGGAAAGCGGCCAUUACAGAUUCAUUGCCCUCAUUAGGCGGAACUGGUGCUCUUGGGAGAAAUGCUGAGUUCAGAAUCAAGUCCUGGUAAAUCUAACGCCGUCAAGUUGCAGUGAGCCAAAAACGAGACACAAGGUGAAGGUGAAUGUUGCAGGAGAACCACGUAGAUAAAGACAAAGUUCAUGCUGCACGGGACCCAAUCGGCCUGAUACCACGCACAUUUGUUCCCCCAAAGGGAAGUGGUCAUCAUGGGCCCAGCCUGCCGCAGUGCCCCACUCCAGAAGGAGCACAGACCCGAGAGCGUGGGCUUCAGAAUCAGAUGAGCUGGGGCCUGCGCGAUUUACGUGACCUCCCUCACGCCCGUGUGCCUGCCUACAAACUGGAAAUAAAAACACCCACCUUGUGAGGUUAUAUUUUAAAGUGCCUGUCAAAUAGUAGGUGCUGAAUAAAUAUUA
rnacentral:lncRNA from 1 species